UACGUAGGUGGCAAGCGUUGUCCGGAAUUACUGGGCGUAAGGAGCGCGCAGGCGGCUGGUCAAGUCCGAUGUGAAAGCUUCCGGCUUAACUGGGAAAUUGCAUCGGAAACUGAUCGGCUUGAAGGUGGGAGAGGGUAGUGGAAUUCCCGGUGUAGUGGUGAAAUGCGUAGAUAUCGGGAGGAACACCAGUGGCGAAGGCGACUACCUGGCCCACUCUUGACGCUGAGGCGCGAAAGCUAGGGGAGCGAACGGG
rnacentral:rRNA from 1 species